GACGAACGCUGGCGGCGUGCUUAACACAUGCAAGUCGAACGGAAAGGCCCUGCUUUUGUGGGGUGCUCGAGGGGCGAACGGGGGAGUAACACGUGAGUAACCUGCCCUUGACUUUGGGAUAACUUCAGGAAACUGGGGCUAAUACCGGAUAGGAGCUCCUGCUGCAUGGUGGGGGUUGGAAAGUUUCGGCGGUUGGGGAUGGACUCGCGGCUUAUCAGCUUGUUGGUGGGGUAGGGGCUUACCAAGGCUUUGACGGGUAGCCGGCCUGAGAGGGUGACCGGCCACAUUGGGACUGAGAUACGGCCCAGACUCCUACGGGAGGCAGCAGUGGGGAGUAUUGCACAAUGGGCGGAAGCCUGAUGCAGCAACGCCGCGUGCGGGAUGACGGCCUGCGGGUUGUAAACCGCUUUCGCCUGUGACGAAGCGUGAGUGACGGUAAUGGGUAAAGAAGCACCGGCUAACUACGUG
rnacentral:rRNA from 1 species